rnacentral:rRNA from 1 species
AUCCUGGCUCAGAUUGAACGCUGGCGGCAUGCCUUACACAUGCAAGUCGAACGGCAGCACGGACUUCGGUCUGGUGGCGAGUGGCGAACGGGUGAGUAAUGCAUCGGAACGUGCCAUUGAGUGGGGGAUAACGUAGCGAAAGUUGCGCUAAUACCGCAUAUUCUGUGAGCAGGAAAGCAGGGGACCGCAAGGCCUUGCGCUCUUUGAGCGGCCGAUGUCAGAUUAGCUAGUUGGUGAGGUAAAGGCUUACCAAGGCGACGAUCUGUAGCGGGGUCUGAGAGGAUGAUCCGCCACACUGGAACUGAGACACGGUCCAGACUCCUACGGGAGGCAGCAGUGGGGAAUUUUGGACAAUGGGGGCAACCCUGAUCCAGCCAUGCCGCGUGAGUGAAGAAGGCCUUCGGGUUGUAAAGCUCUUUCGGCCGGGAAGAAAUCGCAUGGGCCAAUACCCUGUGUGGAUGACGGUACCGGAAUAAGAAGCACCGGCUAACUACGUG